CAAUAGCGUAUAUUAAAGUUGUUGCGGUUAAAAAGCUCGUAGUUGGAUUUCUGCCGAGGACGACCGGUCCGCCCUCUGGGUGUGUAUCUGGUUUGGCCUGGGCAUCUUCUUGGAGAACGUAGCUGCACUUGACUGUGUGGUGCGGUGUCCAGGACUUUUACUUUGAGGAAAUUAGAGUGUUUCAAGCAGGCACACGCCUUGAAUACAUUAGCAUGGAAUAAUAAGAUAGGACCUCGGUUCUAUUUUGUUGGUUUCUAGAGCUGAGGUAAUGAUUAAGAGGGACAGUCGGGGGCAUUCGUAUUUCAUUGUCAGAGGUGAAAUUCUUGGAUUUAUGAAAGACGAACUACUGCGAAAGCAUUUGCCAAGGAUGUUUUCAUUAA
rnacentral:rRNA from 1 species